UACAGAGGUCUCAAGCGUUGUCCGGAUUUAUUGGGCGUAAAGAGCUCGUAGGCGGCUUGUCGCGUCGACUGUGAAAACCCGCGGCUCAACUGCGGGCCUGCAGCCGAUACGGGCAGGCUAGAGUUCGGUAGGGGAGACUGGAAUUCCUGGUGUAGCGGUGAAAUGCGUAGAUAUCUGGAGGAACACCGGUGGCGAAGGCGGCAUCCUGGACCGAAACUGACGCUGAGGAGCGAAAGCCAGGGGAGCAAACGGG
rnacentral:rRNA from 1 species